GGUGGUCCGCACGGGAGUCCGGAGGUACCGGGCUGAGAGGGGAUCCGCCGAUCCCGACCGUCGAACCUGAUCCGGAUCAUGCCGGCGCAGGGAGCGUGUUGUGCCUGAAA
rfam:Actinophytocola xinjiangensis strain CGMCC 4.4663 contig9, whole genome shotgun sequence.